UUUCAGUGCUCAAAACCAUGCAAAAAUGUAAGUUGCGUUGAAUCGAUGGCUUUGAAGCGCCACUUUAUGAAUAGUAUAUUCUCUUUUAACCUUUUCCACGAGCCGAAGUGUAAGAGACUAGAAUGGAUGCAGUUAGAAAUCAGUGACAGGUAGUCAUCGGUGUGGUAGCUGUUUUUAAGUCUUGUACCACGUUUUAGCGCUAUAAAGUAUGAUCUCUAUACACAAUAGCAGGAUGGAGAGAACGAAAGUACAAACAGUGAAGAAGGUGGAAGUAAAUUUGGUUGCAUUAAAAUUGUUCUUUGAGACACCAACUUGUGACGAGGACGAAGGCUUGGUAGGAGUUCAUUCCUGUCUCCCUGUAGCUGCACUGCAGAUUCUGAGUAGCUCCCUGCAUGCGAAAGAUGCUGGAGUUUUCCUGCACGAACAAGGGAUUGACUUGAAGAUGCCCAGCAGUUGCACAUGUAUGUUG